UCGAACGAUGAAACUUAGUAGACUUCUUCGGAAUGACACUAAGCGAAUUAGUGGCGAACGGGUGAGUAACGCGUGAGUAACCUGCCUUACACAAGGGGAUAGCCUUUGGGAACGAAGAAUAAUACCCUAUAAAACUAUAAAAGCACAUGCUAGAAUGGUCAAAGUGCUAGCGGUGUAAGAUGGGCUUGCGUCUGAUUAGCUAGUUGGUGAGAUAAAAGCUCACCAAGGCAACGAUCAGUAGCCGGCUUGAGAGAGUGUACGGCCACAUUGGGACUGAGACACGGCCCAGACUCCUACGGGAGGCAGCAGUGGGGAAUUUUGCACAAUGGGGGAAACCCUGAUGCAGCGACGCCGCGUGAUUUAGAAGGCCUUCGGGUUGUAAAAAUCUUUUGUAUAGGAAGAAAAUGACAGUACUAUACGAAUAAGGUCCGGCUAAUUACGUGCCAGCAGCCGCGGUAAUACGUAAGGACCGAGCGUUGUCCGGAAUCAUUGGGCGUAAAGGGUACGUAGGCGGCUAGAAAAGUUAGAAGUCAAAGGCUAUAGCUCAACUAUAGUAAGCUUCUAAAACUAUUUAGCUUGAGAAAUGGAAGGGAAAGUGGAAUUCCUAGUGUAGCGGUGGAAUGCGCAGAUAUUAGGAAGAAUACCGGUGGCGAAGGCGACUUUCUGGCCAUUAUCUGACGCUGAGGUACGAAAGCGUGGGUAGCA
rnacentral:rRNA from 2 species